AACUGAAGAGUUUGAUCAUGGCUCAGAUUGAACGCUGGCGGCAGGCUUAACACAUGCAAGUCGAGCGGGGGAAGGUAGCUUGCUACUGGACCUAGCGGCGGACGGGUGAGUAAUGCUUAGGAAUCU
rnacentral:rRNA from 1 species